rnacentral:lncRNA from 1 species
AGCCGACCCAAGGGCCCCCGCAAGGAGCUGAAGGCGGCUGGAGCCCGAAUCGCCGCCGGCGUCGGCGCAGUCAAAGAAGAUGGCCACAGAGACAGCAGCGUGGUCAGAGUGGUAGGAGCCAGCCAUCGGCGAGAGCUGCUCCGUGCCUGGCUGCUGGGUGCUAGAGCCUGUGGCCCACUGGCUUGCCUCACUGUGAUUGGUGGUGGUGGUGACAGAGACUGCAGCACGACCAGAGUGGCUUUUCUGGCUUUGCCCGCCCAGCUGCUCCGUGCCAGGAGGAGAAGGAGACACCUAGAGCCUGUGACACCAUGACUUGCCUCGCUGCGGAUUUUCAAAACGUCAUACCUCGAACCACCACCAGAUGGCGAUGAGAAUGUUACAAAUAUUGUGCCACCAUAUAAUGCUUUCUCAGGCCAAGGCAUGCCAGAGGUAAAAUAAAAUACAUUUGUAACCCAAGUCUUUAAAUGGUUCUUUUGCUAUAUAAAACCUGUAUAGAGGACUAAAACCAAGGAAAUUAGGUGAAUCAUUCAUGCGGAUUCAUUG